rnacentral:rRNA from 1 species
CAAAUCUUAGCGGUGGAUCACUCGGUUCGUGGAU